CAGGCCUAACACAUGCAAGUCGAACGAGAAAGUGGAGCAAUCCAUGAGUAAAGUGGCGCACGGGUGAGUAACACGUGACUAACCUACCCUUGAGUGGGGAAUAACUUCGGGAAACCGAGGCUAAUACCGCAUAACACCUACGGGUCAAAGGAGCAAUUCGCUUAAGGAGGGGGUCGCGGCAGAUUAGUUAGUUGGCGGGGUAAUGGCCCACCAAGACAGUGAUCUGUAUCCGGCCUGAGAGGGCGCACGGACACACUGGAACUGAAACACGGUCCAGACUCCUACGGGAGGCAGCAGUGGGGAAUUUUGCGCAAUGGGGGAAACCCUGACGCAGCAACGCCGCGUGGAGGAUGAAGUCUCUUGGGACGUAAACUCCUUUCGAUCGGGACGAUAAUGACGGUACCGGAAGAAGAAGCCCCGGCUAACUUCGUGCCAGCAGCCGCGGUAAUACA
rnacentral:rRNA from 1 species